rnacentral:rRNA from 1 species
UACGAAGGGGGCUAGCGUUGUUCGGAAUUACUGGGCGUAAAGCGCACGUAGGCGGCUUUCUAAGUCAGGGGUGAAAUCCUGGAGCUCAACUCCAGAACUGCCUUUGAUACUGGGGAGCUCGAGUCCGGAAGAGGUGAGUGGAACUCCGAGUGUAGAGGUGAAAUUCGUAGAUAUUCGGAAGAACACCAGUGGCGAAGGCGGCUCACUGGUCCGGUACUGACGCUGAGGUGCGAAAGCGUGGGGAGCAAACAGG